rnacentral:rRNA from 1 species
ACAUGCCUACAACAUAGCAUUAAUGCAUCGGAUCCCAUUAGAAAUUCGUAGUUAAGCACUCUCAGGCUAGAGUAGUAUUGGGAUGGGUUACCUCUCGGGAAGUCCUAGUGUUUUACAUGCC